CUCAGUCACGUGGCCCCUGCACGUGUGCAACGAAGGAGGCCUGGGUCCCAGCGGAGGAUAUCGCAAACGGCACCAGUUCAGGGGGGUACCGCCCGCCUCCCAGAACCAAAGAAGUCAUCAUCAAUGGCCAGACCGUGAAACUUAAAUACUGUUUCACCUGCAAGAUUUUCCGGCCCCCUCGCGCCUCCCAUUGCAGCCUUUGUGAUAACUGCGUAGAACGGUUUGAUCACCACUGUCCCUGGGUAGGCAACUGUGUGGGGAAAAGAAACUACAGAUUUUUUUAUAUGUUUAUUUUAUCUCUGUCUUUUCUGACAGUCUUUAUAUUUGCAUUCGUUAUCACCCACGUCAUUCUUCGUUCACAGCAAACAGGAUUCCUAAAUGCCCUUAAGGACAGUCCUGCAAGCGUCCUGGAGGCUGUGGUGUGCUUCUUCUCUGUCUGGUCCAUCGUUGGCCUCUCAGGAUUCCACACCUACUUGAUCAGCUCCAACCAGACGACAAAUGAGGACAUUAAAGGAUCCUGGUCAAAUAAAAGAGGUAAAGAAAAUUACAAUCCCUACAGCUACGGAAAUAUCUUUACCAACUGCUGUGUUGCCCUGUGUGGGCCCAUCUCACCAAGCCUAAUCGACAGAAGAGGGUACAUCCAGCCCGACACGCCGCAGCCAGCAGCACCCUCCAAUGGCAUCACCAUGUACGGGGCCACGCAGUCACAGAGUGACAUGUGCGACCAAGACCAGUGCAUUCAGAGCACCAAAUUCGUUUUGCAGGCCGCGGCCACGCCCCUGCUGCAGAGCGAGCCCAGCCUCACCAGCGACGAGCUGCACCUGCCCGGGAAGCCUGGCCUGGGCACGCCCUGCGCCAGCCUCACACUGGGCCCGCCCACACCGCCCGCCUCCAUGCCCAACCUCGCCGAGGCCACGCUCGCGGACGUGAUGCCCCGGAAAGAUGAGCACAUGGGCCACCAGUUCCUGACGCCUGAUGAGGCGCCCUCGCCCCCCAGGCUACUGGCGGCGGGCAGCCCCCUGGCGCACAGCCGCACCAUGCACGUGCUGGGCCUGGCCAGCCAGGACACCCUGCACGAGGACUCUGUGCGCGGCCUGGUGAAGCUCAGCUCCGUGUGACCCACGUGGCCCCGGGCCGGGGGGCACCAGAGGCUCCUCCACGGGCAGCAGGAGUGAGCGGAGGGGUGUGUCCCACAGCGACUUUCCCAGCCAAUGCCACGGUGGAGAUGACAGCCCCAGGUCUGGGGUGCAGAGACCACUUAGGAUGGCACAGGGUGGCUGGUCCCGGAUGCUGAGAGCUUGGUUUCAUUUGAAUUUUCUUCCCCAACCUGAGUGCUUUGACAACAAUGGAAAUAGAGAAGCGGCUGCUUUCUUUUGGUGACCCUCCAGGGGUGGAAUCGGAGUGUGUCUGCCCGCCCUUGUGACAGACACACGGAAGGCUUCUGACGCUUGUGGCCAGACUGCAAUUGCACUUACGUGUUAUGCUACUAAUAUUUGAAACAGACCUGCCAUUCCAUUUGUUAAUUUAAAAAAAAUCCUAAAGGGAAAAAACCGACCAGGUGUGGAUCUGCAUGCCACGCUGCCGUCUGUGUUACAGUGGUGUUGCUAUUUCCAAGGAAGUGCUGCUUUCUUUUUCUUUUUUUAAUUUUGUGAAUUUUCAAGUGCUGUUUUGUUGGAAGACAGUGCAACGAACCGAGACUAAUGGACAGUGUCAUCACUCAGCUUACUGGGCUGAGGCGUCUGUGGAGAGGUGGCACCGGGGCUGCAGAGGGCGGCUGGGGUUCCGUCGUGUCGGGUGUCACUUCACCUUCUGUUUGGCCGCUCGAUGAGGUCUCGUGUUGAGGUAUUGUGUGCCACAACCCCCAAAGUCUUCACCUCCGUGUGUGAUGAAACUUCCCGUGGACAGCCAAUAAAAUGACGUCCUCUGUUA
rnacentral:sRNA from 1 species